UACGAAGGGAGCUAGCGUUGUUCGGAAUCACUGGGCGUAAAGCGCACGUAGGCGGAUUUGUCAGUCAGGGGUGAAAUCCCGGGGCUCAACCUCGGAACUGCCUUUGAUACAGCAAGUCUUGAGUUCGAGAGAGGUGGGUGGAAUUCCUAGUGUAGAGGUGAAAUUCGUAGAUAUUAGGAAGAACACCGGUGGACGAAGGACGGCCCGACCUGGCGUCGA
rnacentral:rRNA from 1 species